rnacentral:rRNA from 1 species
GAUGAACGCUGGCGGCGUGCCUAAUACAUGCAAGUCGAGCGAACAGACGAGGAGCUUGCUCCUCUGACGUUAGCGGCGGACGGGUGAGUAACACGUGGAUAACCUACCUAUAAGACUGGGAUUACUUCGGGAAACCGGAGCUAAUACCGGAUAAUAUAUUGAACCGCAUGGUUCAAUAGUGAAAGACGGUUUUGCUGUCACUUAUAGAUGGAUCCGCGCCGCAUUAGCUAGUUGGUAAGGUAACGGCUUACCAAGGCGACGAUGCGUAGCCGACCUGAGAGGGUGAUCGGCCACACUGGAACUGAGACACGGUCCAGACUCCUACGGGAGGCAGCAGUAGGGAAUCUUCCGCAAUGGGCGAAAGCCUGACGGAGCAACGCCGCGUGAGUGAUGAAGGUCUUCGGAUCGUAAAACUCUGUUAUUAGGGAAGAACAAAUGUGUAAGUAACUAUGCACGUCUUGACGGUACCUAAUCAGAAAGCCACGGCUAACUACGUG